rnacentral:rRNA from 1 species
GAUGAACGCUAGCGGCGGGCUUAAUACAUGCAAGUCAAGGGGUAGCAAUACACCGGCGUACGGGUGCGUAACGCGUAUGGAACCUGCCCUUAUCUGGGGGAUAACUCGGGGAAACUCGAGCUAAUACCGCAUAAGAUAGUAAAGAGGCAUCUCUUAGCUAUUAAAGAUUUAUCGGAUAAGGAUGGCCAUGCGUAAGAUUAGAUAGUUGGCGAGGUAACGGCUCACCAAGUCUACGAUCUUUAGGGGCUCUGAGAGGAGAAUCCCCCACACUGGCACUGAGAUACGGGCCAGACUCCUACGGGAGGCAGCAGUAGGGAAUAUUGGGCAAUGGGCGGAAGCCUGACCCAGCCACGCCGCGUGCAGGAAGACGGCCCUCUGGGUUGUAAACUGCUUUUAACUGGGAAGAAAGCAGCUCAUGCGUGAGAAUUUGACGGUACCAGUUGAAUAAGCCACGGCUAACUACGUGCCAGCCGCCGCUGUAAUAC